CAGGGCACAAAUUUUCAUAUCGGUGGAUGCAGAGCACCGAUGGAUCAACUGGGGGAGCACAAUUUAUUUACGUACGUACGAGUAGCCCGUUUUUUUGCCGGAUCAUUUUAGCUGCAGUGCAGUGUGUACCCCAUGCAUCAACGUUGGCAUCUACUGGAGGUGCGCCUGCUGCUGGAGGGCGUGGUUGUUGUGGCCGCGGCGGGGGUCGUAGCCGUCCCCGUCCACCUCCUUGAACGACUCCGUGUGCACAGCCGUGUGUUGCUGCACGGCGGCGGCGGCGCCGCCGCCGCCGCCGGCGUGGCAGGGGUUCCCGGCGACUUUGGUGACGCGCUCGGAGUGCGUGUCGUGGUCGUCCAUGUUGGGUUGAGGCUGGCCGCUGCCGUGGAAGGCACUCCUCCGCCGCAACCGCAUGGCCAUAGUGAUUGGUUUCCCCUGCGUUUACCCUGUGCCUUCGCACUUGGAUCGCUAUGGUUCGCGGCUUUGCGUGGAUCAACUUGGCUGCUU
rnacentral:lncRNA from 1 species